rnacentral:rRNA from 1 species
GUACACUCCUGCGGGAGGCAGCAGUGGGGAAUAUUGCACAAUGGGCGCAAGCCUGAUGCAGCCAUGCCGCGUGUAUGAAGAAGGCCUUCGGGUUGUAAAGUACUUUCAGCGGGGAGGAAGGCAAUACGGUUAAUAACCGUGUUGAUUGACGUUACCCGCAGAAGAAGCACCGGCUAACUCCGUGCCAGCAGCCGCGGUAAUACGGAGGGUGCAAGCGUUAAUCGGAAUUACUGGGCGUAAAGCGCACGCAGGCGGUCUGUCAAGUCGGAUGUGAAAUCCCCGGGCUCAACCUGGGAACUGCAUUCGAAACUGGCAGGCUUGAGUCUUGUAGAGGGGGGUAGAAUUCCAGGUGUAGCGGUGAAAUGCGUAGAGAUCUGGAGGAAUACCGGUGGCGAAGGCGGCCCCCUGGACAAAGACUGACGCUCAGGUGCGAAAGCGUGGGGAGCAAACAGGAUUAGAUACCCUAGUAGUCCCAUGA